CGAGAUCGGAAGCGAGAAUGUUGACAUGAGUAGCGACAAACAGGGUGAGAGACCCUGUCGCCGAAAGUCCAAGGGUUCCUGCUUAAAGCUAAUCUGAGCAGGGUAAGCCGGCCCCUAAGGCGAGGCCGAAAGGCGUAGUCGAUGGGAACCAGGUUAAUAUUCCUGGGCCAGGAGGAUGUGACGGAUCUCGACGGUAGUUUGCCCUUAUCGGAUUGGGUGAGCUGCUUAGAGGUUCCUGGAAAUAGCCCUCCACAAGACCGUACCCCAAACCGACACAGGUGGACUGGUAGAGAAUACCAAGGCGCUUGAGAGAACCACAUCAAAGGAACUCGGCAAAAUGCUCCCGUAAGUUCGCGAGAAGGGAGCCCCGUCUGUAGGCAACUAUGGGCGGGGGGCACAAACCAGGGGGUGGCGACUGUUUACUUAAAACACAAGGCUGUGCGAAGCCGUAAGGCGACGUAUACAGUCUGACGCCUGCCCGGUGCUGGAAGGCUAAAAGGAGGGGUGCAAGCUCUGAAUUGAAGCCCCAGUAAACGGCGGCCGUAACAAUAACGGUCCUAAGGUAGCGAAAUUCCUUGUCGGGUAAGUUCCGACCUGCACGAAUGGCGUAACGAUCUCCCCGCUGUCUCUGAUGUGGACUCAGCGAAAUUGAACUGUGUGUCAAGAUGCACACUUCCCGCGGUUAGACGGAAAGACCCCAUGAACCUUUACUCCAGCUUUGCACUGGCAUCAGGAUUGUGAUGUGCAGGAUAGGUGGUAGGCAUCGAAGCAGAGACGCCAGUUUCUGUGGAGCCUCCCUUGAGAUACCACCCUUCGCACUCUUGAUGUCUAACCGCGGCCCGUUAUCCGGGUCCGGGACCAUGCAUGGUGGGGAGUUUGACUGGGGCGGUCGCCUCCCAAACAGUAACGGAGGCGCGCGAAGGUUGGCUCAGAGCGGUCGGAAAUCGCUCGUUGAGUGCAAUGGCAGAAGCCAGCCUGACUGCAAGACUGACAAGUCGAGCAGAGACGAAAGUCGGCCAUAGUGAUCCGGUGGUCCCAAGUGGGAGGGCCAUCGCUCAACGGAUAAAAGGUACUCUGGGGAUAACAGGCUGAUGAUGCCCAAGAGUCCAUAUCGACGGCAUCGUUUGGCACCUCGAUGUCGGCUCAUCUCAUCCUGGGGCUGGAGCAGGUCCCAAGGGUAUGGCUGUUCGCCAUUUAAAGAGGUACGUGAGCUGGGUUUAGAACGUCGUGAGACAGUUCGGUCCCUAUCUGCCGUGGGUGUAGGAGACUUGAGAAGAGUUGCCCCUAGUACGAGAGGACCGGGGUGAACGUUCCACUGGUGGACCAGUUGUCGUGCCAACGGCAGUGCUGGGUAGCUAUGAACGGACAGGAUAACCGCUGAAGGCAUCUAAGCGGGAAGCCCCCUUCAAAACAAGGUCUCCCUUGAGAGCCGUGGAAGACCACCACGUCGAUAGGCCAGAGGUGUAAGUGCAGCAAUGCAUUCAGCUGACUGGUACUAAUUG
rnacentral:rRNA from 1 species